rnacentral:rRNA from 1 species
GGGGUUGUCCUAUUUUAUACACUAGUGCAAAAACCACGGGGGCGCCCCCGUGAAUGCACCCGGUAUUGCCCCGUCGGGCUACUUCACGGGGGGUGUAAUUUCCGGUUAACGGCGAACUCGAAAAAUAAUACGCACCUCCCUGGUGAAGGUGGCUCCGGGGUGAUUACCACGUUUAUGAUCAAAUUGGCGCACAAACUGAUUAGAUACUUUAGAUUUGUCCACGUUUCACUUUCUAGCAUUUGGUUUUUUUUUUUUGCAUUGCAGCAAAAAACAGAAAUACCACACCCCUGAGCACUACUCUAGCCUGCCAAUAUCGAGAAACAUUCCAAGGUUGACCCAACGGGUUUAACAUCCGAUUUAACAACCGCAUACGGGCGCAUAACGUCCAGUAAUUUCAAUUCAAGAUCACUCCUAGAGAUGUCUUGGCCGUUGGGAAAUGUGAGACGGGGGCUGCAUGGUGUUACAUCAAAUAUUGGAAAUGUUGGGGAGUCCUUAACAGCGCAAAAGUUAUCCUUAUCGCCAGCACUUGGGUGGGAACUUAAGGGAGAGUUCCGGUGACAACCCGGAGGAAGGUGGGGACGACGUCAAGUCAUCAUGGGCCUUAGGAGUAGGGCUACACACGUGUUACAAUGGCGUAUACAGAGGGCAGCGAACUCGGGAGGGUAAGCAAAUCCCAAAAAGUACGUCGUAGUCCGGAUUGGAGUCUGCAACUCGACUCCAUGAAGUCGGAAUCGCUAGUAAUCGUGAAUCAGAAUGUCACGGUGAAUACGUUCCCGGGCCUUGUACACACCGCCCGUCACACCAUGGGAGUUGAUUGCUCCAGAAGUAGCUAGCUUAACCUUCGGGAUGGCGGUUACCACGGAGUGGUCAAUGAAGGUAGUGAACUCUGCCUCGUCGCAGCCGACCCCAAA